GCCCCAGCCCCAGCGCUGGGCCGGGCGGAGCUCCCGCCCAGGCGGAGCUGCGGCUGCAGCGUCCAGCUGCCGGACCGACCUCCAGCCGGGCAGACUGCGGGAGCGGCGCCGGGCCCCCUCCCCCCACCUCUCCAGCCCACCCUCUGAGCCUCCCGAGCCCCCUCCCCGCUCCCUGCAACUGUGCUGCACAUGGUGAUGAGUUUCCGGGUGUCUGAGCUCCAGGUGCUCCUCGGCUUCGCUGGCCGGAACAAGAGUGGACGGAAGCACGAGCUCCUGGCCAAGGCCCUGCACCUCCUCAAGUCCAGCUGUGCCCCCAGCGUCCAGAUGAAGAUCAAAGAGCUUUACCGCCGACGCUUUCCCCGGAAGACCCUGGGGCCCUCUGAUCUUUCUCUGCUCUCUCUGCCCCCUGGCACCCCUCCUGUAGGCUCUCCUGGUCCUCUAGCUCCCAUCCCCCCAGCCCUCUUGGCCCCUGGCACCCUGCUGGGCCCCAAGCGUGAAGUGGACAUGCACCCCCCUCUGCCCCAGCCUGUGCACCCUGAUGUCACCAUGAAACCAUUGCCCUUCUAUGAAAUCUACGGGGAGCUCAUCCGGCCCACCACCCUUGCAUCCACUUCUAGCCAGCGGUUUGAGGAAGCGCACUUCACCUUUGCCCUCACUCCCCAGCAAGUGCAGCAGAUUCUCACAUCCAGAGAGGUUCUGCCAGGAGCGAAAUGUGAUUAUACCAUACAGGUGCAGCUAAGGUUCUGUCUCUGUGAGACCAGCUGCCCCCAAGAGGAUUACUUCCCCCCCAACCUCUUUGUCAAGGUCAAUGGGAAACUGUGCCCCCUGCCGGGUUACCUUCCCCCUACCAAGAAUGGGGCUGAGCCCAAGAGGCCCAGCCGCCCCAUCAACAUCACACCCCUGGCUCGACUCUCGGCCACUGUUCCCAACACCAUCGUGGUCAACUGGUCGUCUGAGUUUGGACGGAAUUACUCCUUGUCUGUGUACCUGGUGAGGCAGCUGACUGCAGGAACCCUUCUACAAAAACUCAGAGCAAAGGGCAUCCGGAACCCAGACCAUUCCCGGGCACUGAUCAAGGAGAAGCUGACCGCUGACCCGGACAGUGAGGUGGCCACUACAAGUCUCCGGGUGUCACUCAUGUGCCCGCUAGGGAAGAUGCGCUUGACUGUCCCUUGUCGGGCCCUCACCUGCGCCCACCUGCAGAGCUUCGAUGCUGCCCUUUAUCUACAGAUGAAUGAGAAGAAGCCAACGUGGACGUGUCCUGUGUGUGAUAAGAAGGCUCCCUAUGAAUCUCUUAUCAUUGAUGGUUUAUUCAUGGAGAUUCUUAAUUCCUGCUCGGAUUGUGAUGAGAUCCAGUUCAUGGAAGAUGGAUCCUGGUGCCCAAUGAAACCCAAGAAGGAGGCAUCUGAGGUUUGCCCCCCGCCAGGGUAUGGGCUGGAUGGCCUCCAGUAUAGCCCAGUCCAAGAGGGCAAUCCAUCAGAGAAUAAGAAGAAGGUUGAAGUUAUUGACUUGACAAUAGAAAGCUCAUCAGACGAGGAGGACCUGCCCCCGACGAAGAAGCACUGUCCUGUCACUUCAGCUGCUAUCCCAGCUCUACCUGGAAGCAAAGGAGUCCUGACAUCUGGUCACCAGCCAUCUUCGGUGCUACGGAGCCCUGCUAUGGGCACGCUGGGCGGGGAUUUCCUGUCCAGUCUCCCACUACAUGAGUACCCACCUGCCUUCCCACUGGGGGCUGAUAUACAAGGUUUAGAUUUAUUUUCUUUCCUUCAGACUGAGAGUCAGCACUAUGGUCCAUCCGUCAUCACCUCGCUAGACGAACAGGAUGCCCUGGGCCACUUCUUCCAGUACCGAGGAACCCCUUCCCACUUCCUGGGCCCGCUAGGCCCCACGUUGGGGAGCUCUCACCGCAGCACCACUCCGGCACCCCCUCCUGGCCGUGUCAGUAGCAUUGUGGCCCCUGGGGGAAACUUAAGGGAGGGGCAUGGAGGACCCCUGCCCUCAGGUCCCUCUUUGACUGGCUGUCGGUCAGACAUCAUUUCCCUGGACUGAGUCCCCUGGAUCAUGGAGCCUUCACCGCCUCGCAACACUGAGCAAGUAUGCUGUGGAGUCUGGAACCCUGGCCCCUCUGACCCAUCAGAAGGGCUUUGGUCAAGGCCAGAAAGAUCUUCAUGGACACCUGUUUUUGGCCUUAUCUCUGCCUGACAAGGCUAGCACCCAAAGGGAAAAUGAUCCCCAGACGGAAUGAUUUCUGGAUUCACGUGUCAUCUCCCACCAGCCAUGGGCGGAACGAUAAGCACCCCUCCAUGGCACUCUGCACACCUAUCUGGUAUAGCAGAGCUGGAUACAGUUUGUUUGGGGUUCAGAAUGUUUGCUUCAGGAGUUCCUCUCAUCCUAGGUCAGCUCUGUUGGUUGGUGAUUACUGUUACCUGGAGUGAUAUGAAAUUUUCUGAGAGCAUUUUAUAAAGCAUAUCCUUUGCCUCCUUUGCUGGAAUCAUUGCAAAGUCUUCUACCUGUUUCUGCUCCAGGUGUUUCUUUUGUAAAACUAAACGGAAUAUUCUGGCACAGCGAGACCCAAAUCUGUAAAGGAAUAAAGAAAGCAAAUGGCAUGCCGACGUAGAUUAGCUUUAGCUCUUAGUCACAGACGGUGCUUGUUCGGUUUCCACGUGUGGAGACAGGACCAGAGAGGAACAGCAAUCAGAGAAUUCCUUCAUAACUCCACAGACUGAUGACAAUACUGCUAAUCAUAAGAGUCACCAACUGCUGACUCACCUGAAUGCCUCAGUUCCUGCAUUUUUCACGCUGCCUGACUGUAAGGAAAUAACCACCCAUAAGGAUACUGAUGACAUACAUUCCUCCACCACUGUCGCCAGACUUUCCAACAAACUCAAGCUAUUAAAAAAAAGGAAAAAAAAAAAAAAGAGAGCUUGUGUUAUUUGAAUGGAAAGUCCAGUGAUCCUGUUUUCAAAAGAGCAAAUCUGGCCAAGAGUCUGCAGCAGGAAGCCCUCCUAUCAGAUGAUGGUAGAAAAUUGUCUGAGCUGGCUAGGUAGAGAAUGAGGCUACAGAAGACUGAUAGCAGGCAAAAAUUAAUCGUAAAUACAGCAGAAAAAAGAAAGAAAAGACUUACUGGAUCAUCUGCCAGCAGAGUGAGAUACUGAUCAAGAACUUGCUUAGAGAUGUUAUAGCCAACAGGGCUUCCCUGGUGGCGCAGUGGUUGAGAAUCUGCCUGCCAAUGCAGGGGACACGGGUUUGAGCCCUGGUCUGGGAAGAUCCCACGUGCUGCGGAACAACUGGGCCUGUGAGCCACAACUACUGAGCCUGCGCGUCUGGAGCCUGUGCUCCGCAACAAGAGAGGCCGAGAUAGUGAGAGGCCCGCGCACCGCGAUGAAGAGUGGCCCCCGCUUGCCACAACUAAAGAAAGCCCUCACACAGAAACGAAGACCCAACACAGCCGUAAAUAAAUAAAUAAAUAAAUAAAUAAAUAUCUACAUUUAUGUGAGACUAUACAUAUAAAAAAGUCUGAAUAAAGAUAUGUACCAAACUACUGACAAGGAUCUCUGGGGCUGGGAUUAUGGGAUUAUGCAAAACUAUGUAUUUAUUUAAACUGGGGUAUGUUACAUACAAGAAGCACAGAUUUUAAGGGUACAGUUUGAUGAGUAUUGACAAUUGUAUAUACCCACAUAACUACCAUCUACAAGAUAUAGAACAUGCCUGGCAUUCCUGAAAGUUUGGGGAGCUACAAGUUUAAAAAAAUUAUACAUUU